UUUUUUUCAUGUAAAAUUAACCAAUUACUAAUAAGCUCUUUUUGUAUUAAAAUAUACUAUAUACUUACAUUUGAGAGAAAUUAAUCUACCUCAAACAUUCAUUCAUUCCAAAUUAUCAAUGUAGAUUUGCACUGCAAGAGAUUUGAAUUAGCAGGUAAUGAUCAUGCAAUUAUCUCCCUUUAGAUAUGAUCAAGUAAGCAGACACAAUUACCAUGCUUCAUUACAGCCAUGAUGGCUUCUACACCUGUGAUAUAACAAUGGAAUACAAACAAUUCAUGCAAAAUUGUGCAAAGGUUAAACCAUUCAGUGAAGGUGUAAUGCUACAUUCAUAGUGAAACGCAGUGAACUGGACUAUUUCCAAAAUAUUAAAUACUCAUACUGAGAAAAUAUGAAACCAUGUAAUUCAAAUUAGUGAAAGAACCUAAAUCACUUUGUUUGAUAUUAAAAGAAUUUUUAUUAGUGCAUAGCAUCAGUUUUUUGUGCAUCUAAAUCUUUAUGCACAUUUUCCCC
rnacentral:lncRNA from 1 species